GAGAGAAAAAGAAGACGACACCCGCCCUCAGAGCUGCGAGGCAACGAUGAGCGGCGGCUUCUUCUCUGCGUCUCUCUCGCGCGCGCUUUUGGGAGCGGGCGAGCUACCGCGGCGGCAGCAGCAGCAGCAGCUGACCCCGGGGCCCGCCCAGCAGAAAGGACGCGGAAAGUUGGGAAUUCAUCCAGCGCUGGCCCUGUGUCCUUAGAUGUCCUAGAUAGGGAUUUACAUUGAUCCCUUCUCUCUGUUCGUGCUUUGGGCUAGCUUGACGUGUGGCAGAAUAAGAUGGCUGACAUCCCAGCAUCGUCCUCUCCUUGUUCCACUGAUAGAAGCCUUUGCAUCACCAGAAUGACGCCAUUGGGGACAGCCUUCUGUCUCUGCGUGACAAGUCUUACCUGCCACUAUUCUCUCCUACAAAACCAUUAAACGUUUGUCAGCCUUUAUACCUAGUCACCCUAAGAAUAUAACA